rnacentral:tRNA from 1 species
CGGGGCAUAGUGUAAUGGUAGCACGAGUCCUUUGGGAGGAUUUAGUUCCAGUUCAAAUCUGGAUGCCCCGACAA